rnacentral:RNase_P_RNA from 2 species
UCGGCAAGCCAGACGAUAGCUCUUCACUGUUAAAACAGAUGGAGGGAGGAAAGUCCGGACACCCGGUCCGAUAUUAUGUCGGACCAAUUGUACGGGUUAACGACCCGCCGCAGCAAUGUGAGAGGUGCGAACAGAGACGCUUCGGUUUGAAAAAAUCGGAGAAGCCCUAUCCUAACGUAGAAGGCUUAAUCCUGCCAUAAGGAUAAGAAAGCAGGAGUGAAACGGCUAAAUCCUUACUGGGCGCAAGGCUGAGCUAUUAUUGUUUUGCAAUAAUAGAAUGCCGCUAGAGCUCGCGAGCAAUCAAGAGCCCAGAUAAAUUAUCGUUUAAUACAGAAUCCGGCUUAUGGCUUGCCGGUUUU